UUAGGUAUGAUAGCUCUUUUCAAAGAAUAGGUCAUUUAUGACCCAAAAGUUACCCCAGAUCCAGAAAGAUGGCUACCAAUGCGAGAGCGCUCUUAUUACCGAGGAAGAAAGAAGGGUAAAAAGAAGGACCAGAUUGGAAAAGGAACACAGGGAGCGACUGCAGGAGCCUCCUCUGAACUGUAAGUUGUGGCUGCAAAACAGGAGUCUCCGAAUGCAGUUCAUCCUGGAGGCUGGUUUUAACGCUCUACACUAUUCUGACAAAUAUUAAGCUCGGAUCAAUCGCUUCACAGCCUUCAUUCCAACUGCAGAUUUCUUUUUUGGGGGUGGGGUGGGGUGUUUUUGUUUGUUUUGUUUUGUUUUGUUUUGUUUUGUUUUGUUUUUUGAGACAGGGUUUCUCUGUGCAGUCCUGGCUGUCCUGGAACUCAUUCUGUAGACCAGGCUGGCCUCGAACUCAGAAAACCACCUCUGCCUUUCAAGUGCUGAAAUUACAGGCGUGCACCACCACUGCCCGGCCUCAACUGCAGAUUUCUUAUUGCCUUAGUGACGAGGGGUGGGGCUGUCUUAAAAAUCUCCUAUCCACUUCCAGCCUUUGUAAAGAGUCCGUGUUGGGAUACCUCCGAAACCUCGGAAACCUAACCAGUUAGGAAGCAUAUGUGUACCGCGGGUGGUUGAGUUGUCUCCCUUCACACCGGAAGCGGGAGCAGGAUCCCUCUCUCCCGCCUCUGUCUCACGGUGCGGUGUCUAACAGAGACGCACCCUAGGAGAGCGUCACGUCUCCAUAGCAACCGGUGAUCCAAGCGCUGAGGCCGGACCGGCGGGGCGGGGCCAGGCGGCGGGGGCGGAGCUGA
rnacentral:lncRNA from 1 species